rnacentral:rRNA from 1 species
GACGAACGCUGGCGGCGUGCUUAACACAUGCAAGUCGAACGGAAAGGCCCUGCUUUUGUGGGGUGCUCGAGUGGCGAACGGGUGAGUAACACGUGAGUAACCUGCCCUUGACUUUGGGAUAACUUCAGGAAACUGGGGCUAAUACCGGAUAGGAGCUCCUGCUGCAUGGUGGGGGUUGGAAAGUUUCGGCGGUGGGGGAUGGACUCGCGGCUUAUCCGCUUGUUGGUGGGGUAGGUGCUUACCAAGGCUUUGACGGGUAGCCGGCCUGAGAGGGUGACCGGCCACAUUGGUACUGAGAUACGGCCCAGACUGCUACGGGAGGCAGCAGUGGGGAAUAUUGCACAAUGGGCGGAAGCCUGAUGCAGCAACGCCGCGUGCGGGAUGACGGCCUUCGGGUUGUAAACCGCUUUCGCCUGUGACGAAGCGUGAGUGACGGUAAUGGGUAAAGAAGCACCGGCUAACUACGUG